rnacentral:lncRNA from 1 species
GCUUUCUCGUUGGCCUCUCAGAGAUGGCCAAGGAGAAGCAGUGCUACCUGCAGCAAGUCAAGCAGUUCUGUAUCCGGGUGGAGAACGACUGGCACCGGGUGUACCUGGUGCGGAAGCUCAGCAGCCAGCGGGGGAUGGAGUUCGUGCAGGGCCUCUCCAAGCCCGGCCGCCCGCACCAGUGGGUGUUUCCCAAGGACGUUGUCAAGCAGCAGGGGCUGCAGCAGGACCACCCAGGCCAGAUGGAUAGGUACCUGGUGUACGGCGAUGAAUACAAGGCUCUCCGUGAUGCUGUGGCCAAAGCUGUCCUCGAGUGCAAGCCACUGGGCAUUAAGACUGCUCUGAAGGUAGGGUGGGCCCGUGGCUUCUCUCUGAUACCAGGUGGCAUC